rfam:Bifidobacterium indicum LMG 11587 = DSM 20214, complete genome.
GGGGCUAUGGCGCAGCUGGUAGCGCAUCUGCUUUGCAAGCAGAGGGUCGCCGGUUCGAACCCGGCUAGCUCCA